AUCGUGGAGCAUGCCGAUCGUGCUGCUUGUGUUUGGUACUUCCUCCACCAAUACAAAAGUCGGCGUCAGGAGCUCGCCGCGCCCGGGCUUCACGGCGGUGACGACGCUGGCGUGUACGUGUUCCUGUAUAACACGCCCGACGCAUACAAGUCCAACUUCACGCUGGUCGCCAAAUCGAAGCUAUCGAGCCUGGAAAGCCGGAAACGAGAGCCAACACCAACUCCGUCCAGAAGGUU